ACAAGAGUCAUUUUCAUCAUUUUCCUUGGCUUCUUCAGGUUUGCAGCCAAACAGCUAGCGUUUCCGGUUGUUUCAUCAUCCGUCCAAUCAUCAGACGAUUCAUCACUUUCAGAUUCACUGAAAGUCCUUCUGAAACCUCUGCCAUUUAUUCUGCCCAAUCGGCCUUUGUCCGCUGAUCUUCAGAAUUCCCGUUCUGGUCAGUUGAACCCUCAUCUGUUCCUUCUUGAAACCUGAUGAUUUCAAUCUUCAUCAGUGUGUUAUCAUAUAUGAAAUCAAUAUGUUCCAGAAGAUAGAAUUUCAAUCUUUAAGGUUAACUAUGAAAAUUAUUAAGAAAAUAACAACAGUCGCGCCUGAUGUGGAUACAUGACUUCUCAGAUAUCUUAGUUGACAUAAGGCAUGGAAUAAGUUACUGUGAGAUGUGACAUCUUCAUCUGAUUAUGAACUUUUCAUUUUCUGGAGAAUUGUUAACAUUAUUCUGAGCAUAGCGGAAAAAAUCUCAUAUAGCAGUAUAGCAUUUUAUAGAAUCCCUGUAAUUUCUCAUGAUGUUGUAAGGUUAAUAUCACCAGUGGGGAAUCCAACAUAUACUAGUUGCGCAUGCACUAGAUGGAGUCGUACUGUAUAUAUGUUCUGUAGAAAUUCUUAAAGAAUUUUUUAUUUUAAGUAUCAAUAUAUAUUGAGAGGUUCACCCAC